GGGUUGUGAGGUUAAGCGACUAAGCGUACACGGUGGAUGCCCUGGCAGUCAGAGGCGAUGAAGGACGUGCUAAUCUGCGAUAAGCGUCGGUAAGGUGAUAUGAACCGUUAUAACCGGCGAUUUCCGAAUGGGGAAACCCAGUGUGAUUCGUCACACUAUCAUUAACUGAAUCCAUAGGUUAAUGAGGCGAACCGGGGGAACUGAAACAUCUAAGUACCCCGAGGAAAAGAAAUCAACCGAGAUUCCCCCAGUAGCGGCGAGCGAACGGGGAGCAGCCCAGAGCCUGAAUCAGUGUGUGUGUUAGUGGAAGCGUCUGGAAAGGCGUGCGAUACAGGGUGACAGCCCCGUACACAAAAAUGCACAUACUGUGAGCU
rnacentral:rRNA from 1 species